rnacentral:rRNA from 1 species
CAGUCGCCGCGGUAAUACGAAGGGGGCUAGCGUUGCUCGGAAUGACUGGGCGUAAAGGGCGCGUAGGCGGAUUGCGCAGUCAGAUGUGAAAUUCCUGGGCUUAACCUGGGGGCUGCAUUUGAGACGCGUAGUCUAGAGUGUGAAAGAGGGUCGUGGAAUUCCCAGUGUAGAGGUGAAAUUCGUAGAUAUUGGGAAGAACACCGGUGGCGAAGGCGGCGACCUGGUUCAUAACUGACGCUGAGGCGCGAAAGCGUGGGGAGCAAACAGGAUUAGAUACCCCCGUAGUCCCUGUCUCUUAUAA